rnacentral:tRNA from 1 species
UCUAUAGCUCAGUUGGUAGAGCAUGCGUUUGGUAAGCGCAAGGUCAGGAGUUCGACUCUCCUUGG